AACGCGAAGAACCUUACCCGGGCUCAAACGGGAGCGGACGUGCGGAGAAAUCCGCAUUUCUUCGGACCGCUUCCGAGGUGCCGCAUGGUUGUCGUCAGCUCGUGCCGUGAGGUGUCGGCUUAAGUGCCAUAACGAGCGCAACCCCUGCGGACAGUUGCCAUCAGGUAGAGCUGGGCACUCUGUCCGGACUGCCGGCGCAAGCCGUGAGGAGGGCGGGGAUGACGUCGAAUCAGCACGGCCCUUACGUCCGGGGCGACACACGUGUUACAAUGGGCGGCACAGCGGGAAGCCAGGUGGUGACACCGAGCAGAACCCGAAAGCCGUUCUCAGUUCGGAUCGGAGUCUGCAACCCGACUCCGUGAAGCUGGAUUCGCUAGUAAUCGCGCAUCAGCCAUGGCGCGGUGAAUACGUUCCCGGGUCUUGUACACACGC
rnacentral:rRNA from 1 species